ACUUUUUCUUAAUAUCCGUCAAUAAUGUUUUUGCUUAAACUUCAAAAAAGUGAAAACAAGAAUAAGAGAAGUGGUUGCGAUUUGUUUGCGGCUAAUUAUUUGAAUAUUAUUCUUUAUAACUGUUUUAUCUCAACUAAUUAAGCACAUUCUCUUAUCAGAAGAUACUCAUUCAUCAGUUCUCCUUCUCAAUUUCUUAUACGAGUCUUGUUCUUUACUGAAUGAUCCAUUAAUUCCAAUCAAUUUUCAGACUGCAGCAGUAACUCUUCGUCUCUUUCUCGAUCUGUGAGUUCAAAAUAUGUGAGUAUGAUGCAUGCUACAACAUCGUUAAGGAGUGGUUAUCAGUUUGAAGAAGCCACGGACGAGGGAAUAUAAAGACCAUGAAGAAAAAUAUUGAUCGAAAAACCCUCAAGGCGGAUUAUGUUUAAUUGUUUUACAGUUUUUGUUUAUGUAUUCAUCUUCUCCUUUUUGUUCUUAUUUUUGGAGACUUCUCUAA